ACACUGGUGGUUCAGUGGUAGAAUUCCCUCACCUGCCAUGCAGGAGACCUGGGUUAGAUUCCCAGCCAAUACA
rnacentral:tRNA from 1 species